rnacentral:tRNA from 1 species
UGGGGGAUCGUCUAGUGGUAGGACAGCGGACUCUGACUCCGCCGGCGGGGGUUCGAAUCCCUCUCCCCCAGCCA